CAAUGGAGCUUCUCCUGAUGUUACGGCGGACGGGUGAGUACACGUGGGUACCUGCCUGUAAGACUGGGAUAACUCCGGGAAACCGGGGCUAAUACCGGAUGGUUGUCUGAACCGCAUGGUUCAGACAUAAAAGGUGGCUUCGGCUACCACUUACAGAUGGACCCGCGGCGCAUUAGCUAGUUGGUGAGGUAACGGCUCACCAAGGCGACGAUGCGUAGCCGACCUGAGAGGGUGAUCGGCCACACUGGGACUGAGACACGGCCCAGACUCCUACGGGAGGCAGCAGUAGGGAAUCUUCCGCAAUGGACGAAAGUCUGACGGAGCAACGCCGCGUGAGUGAUGAAGGUUUUCGGAUCGUAAAGCUCUGUUGUUAGGGAAGAACAAGUGCCGUUCAAAUAGGGCGGCACCUUGAACGGUACCUAACCAGAAAGCCACGGCUAACUACGUGCCAGCAGCCGCGGUAAUACGUAGGUGGCAAGCGUUGUCCAGAAUUUUUUGGGGGGAGAAGG
rnacentral:rRNA from 1 species